CGCCCUUAGAGUUUGAUCCUGGCUCAGAUUGAACGCUGGCGGAAUGCUUUACACAUGCAAGUCGAGCGGCAGCGCGGGGGCAACCCUGGCGGCGAGCGGCGAACGGGUGAGUAACACAUCGGAACGUACCCUGUCGUGGGGGAUAACGAAUCGAAAGAUUCGCUAAUACCGCAUACGACCUGAGGGUGAAAGCGGGGGAUCGCAAGACCUCGCGCGAUAGGAGCGGCCGAUGUCGGAUUAGCUAGCUGGUGGGGUAAAGGCCUACCAAGGCGACGAUCCGUAGCUGGUCUGAGAGGACGACCAGCCACACUGGGACUGAGACACGGCCCAGACUCCUACGGGAGGCAGCAGUGGGGAAUUUUGGACAAUGGGGGCAACCCUGAUCCAGCCAUUCCGCGUGAGUGAAGAAGGCCUUCGGGUUGUAAAGCUCUUUCGGCAGGAACGAAAAGGCUCUCUCUAACAU
rnacentral:rRNA from 1 species